UAAAGGAAAGCAGCCAUUUUUUUUUUUUGGUUAACUAGCUGAGCAGCGGCUAAGCUAACGUUAGCCUCAGAGGCAUCAGUUUGAUAGCAGCUUAGUCAGGCUUACGGCCCGCCGCCCUGACAUCAUUUUCGGGACAACGAGCUUUCCCCAGUCCGCCUGCGUCGCGAGAUAAUGUUUCCAUUGAACAAACACGUCGUCUCGUCUCGCGUGUCACAUUACCUUGCUCGUCACUGCGCCUCCUCGACCGAACUGUUGUGCUCGGGCCACUUGAUUCGUUUUAUUUUUGGGGGGUAUUUUUAUUGACAUUAUUCGCCAAAGUGAAAAUGGCAACAAAACCGAGACAGCGCGGCUCUGUCUGCAAAGUUUCACUUUCUCCGAAUGUCCUUUUCGUGUUGGUUCCGAACUAUUUCCAUCCACUUCCAGAAAGUGCCGACAGCCAGAACAACUUGUUUUGAUGUUGCGGCAGUGACAAAAACCCCGAAUUAGAUUAGUUUUUUUUUGUCAGUAUUUGUUGUCAAAUUCCCCAAAUGUAUGCAGCCUGUCAUCAUGUUCGCAAAUGGCUUCAUCUCCCCCAGAUUGUCGAGUAUUCGCAGCAACUAGGACACGGAGGCCCCCGGCUUGAUUAUGAUAUCAUCUCUGGCAUGCAUUUCUAGACAGUCCAAACAUGCAGAGCUGUGACAACAGCCGACAAAUGACCAGUGAGCAGAAAAUUCAAACGUUAUACAGCAAUGAUAAUAUCCCAGGCGAUGUACAGUAGUGUGAGAGCCCAGUCUUUUACCACCAAUUGACUCCGCUCCCCAACCUGGCCACCCCUCAGAAGCACUUGAAGGCGGUGCUGGAUACAGCGGGCAGCAGGCGAGCUCCAUGCCAGUAGAUGCCCGUCCGGCUGACAUUUUCGUGCACACUGAGACUAAGCAUAACACCGCCACUGUUAUGACUCACGCACAGAACACACUCUGCUUUGUGGUUUCACAAAGCGAGAAUGCAUCCACAUUGGAGUUGUUUUUCUCUCCUCUUUAGUGACUACUUUUAAUACAGAAGGAUAACAGUACUUGUAAUGAUGUCACGUCAGUGUCUCAUCUUACUUUGCAGUAUGUAGAAUGAGGUAGAUAUUGCAUGAAAAUAUUGUGAGGUUUUUUUGGUUUUUUUUCUCGGUUGUUGUCGAACUUUUGGAAUAAAUAAGGAAUACAUUUGGGCAUGUUGAUCACAUCACUUGUGCAUAGAGUGGAACCUCUAAUGUUGAACGCAAUCCGGUGCUGCUGGUUACUCUCAUAAAACUUGAUUUGCUGUAGCGGGCAGUGUUUUAAUGAACGCUUUUAACUGUUAUACAAGUGUUCAAAUAAGUUAACCGCACUUUUAUGUUGAGGUGUGAAACAUUCAAGUCUGACUUUGAUGACAGAAGAAAAUAAAGGAACAAUAACAUACAAGUUUAUGGUGAGAAUAAAAUCACUGUAAAACUCGAAUGCGUAUGAGGACACAAGCAUCUUAAAACCGCCCUAAGUUGCUCCUUUGAGGUCUUGCGUGAUGCCACAUGUGAAUUUGGUUUAAAAUUUAGUGCAACUUUGGAGUCAUCCGAGGUUUCAUGCAAUACGGUGAUGUGUCACACGACAGCUUUCAUGCAAAACACACCCAGAAUUCAUCCUUAGAUGCUCGCUGGUGGAGAAAUGACUGAUUUUCAAUUUCCUUGAUUGACCAUGGGGAAACAUAACGAUAAACUAACCUGUUGUUGUUUUUGAAUAUUUUUCAUGGGUUGAAGAAUCUCUUACUGAAUGUUCUGAACUCCGGUUUCCUUUGCCAGUGUUGUAUUGAGCAGAGUGAUUCUGCCUGCCCGUAAGUGUAGGCCUUAACUGACGUCAUGCUGUUCUUUAGCUAGCAAACUUGGCCUAUCGGCUACCAUGUAUGCCUCGCCGUUCUGAGAUUCAGGGUUUGAAUCUUGCCUCCAGCCUUCCUGUGUGGAAUUUUCAUGUUCUUCCCCUGCUUGCACUGUUUUCUCUGUAUGGGUUCUCCAAUUUCCUCCCACGUUCCAAUGACAUGAAUUUUAGGUUAAUUGAAGACUAGGGAUGCCUAUAUCGUACGUCUGCAGUUGGACUUGGACUCGAAAAAAACGCUCCACUACUACGAAAGCGAUACUUUAAGUUAAACACAGACGACAACAGUUUGUUAGCCGACUGCGAAUUAUGCUCUGCAAAAUGUGGUGGUGGGUCAUCUGGCAAGCAGAAAAGUUUCUCGAGCCCAGUCGUCCGCCCGCUCCACUCCACGAUGUUCGGCUCUGGCCGAGCCACCCGCUCUCCUGUUACGAAGCUCCUGCAGUGUGGCACGACAAGUAUCAAGCUAUGAUAAAGGUUUUAUUUUAUAACGUGUGGUAUUCUCAAGAAGCAGUCUUUCUUUUCUCUUUAUUUUGUAGUUAACACACAGGUAACAUGUCUUCCAAUGUUUUUUUUCAUCAAACUUGCAAGACGUAAUGACAUUAUGAAGUAUCGGCACUCUGUAUCAGCGAGUACUCAAAUGUGAUUACUUUUGAUUGAAAUCAGUCUGAACAAAGUGAUGUCGGUGCCUUUCUAUUGAAGACAACAUUUUCCAUUGGUGUGGAAGUGUGAAUGGUUGUUUGUCCAUAUGUGCCCUGCAAGUAGCUGGCGGGUGUGCCCCGCCUUUCACCCAAACGUCAGCCGGGAUACGGUCCAGCUCACCUGUGACCCUAAUGAGGACAAGCGCUAUAUAAAAUGGAGGAUUUAACGGCAUCUCUGCUGUUGGCAUCCAAGUAGUGUAGUCCACUUUAUUUUCUCUCAAUUGCUUCCACAUUAAAUAAUCAAAAAUCACUUGUAUACAUACAUCAUUUUUAAUUAAUAAUUGAUCUAUGAAUUUCGUUACCUCUCUGAUGUUUAGUUUUACAUUUUGCUCUAGUCUUCACUCACUUCCAGAUGCACCGUAUCUUGCAACGAGAAGCAUACAGUACAUAGUCGAAUACAGUAGAAGCAUUCAUGCAUACAAUUGAAUCACCGUCGUCAGCCAAAAAUGCAAAUUAACACUUGUUUCAUUUUUGAAGACUGAGGGAGAAGAGUGAGACUAAAGGGGGGCAUCAGUGACACAGUUUGGUAAGCAUCACCUGUUGCUCGUGUCAUCUUGAAAGGCAGGAAGGCAGCUGUUUGAACACACAGUCCCCCCCCCCCCCAAUCCCCCCCGUUGAGAUUUGCAGCAAAGUUGCCAGAGGGAAGGUGAGCAGCUGGCAAAAUCGGGUCGUAACCCUCAAGUUUGUGUCACUCCUGGAAAACUUCCUGCCUGUAUCCAUUGGGUUGGGCUUGAAAUUCACACUGAAUGGAGCCGCAGAAUGUGUUUUUGCCUUCUUGCUGAUGUAGUUUUCUAAAGCACGGACAGAUUAGUGAACACUGACGAGCGCACACUUGUAUUUUGUGCAGACGUAAUUUCUAAAUAAUAGGAGCAUGUGUGCAAAACAAGCUUGCUUAAGAGUUAUCGCUGCAAAGAUACUAGGAGGUCAAUCUGCAUUUAACUCCACUUUAAUACAUCUUUUUCUUUUUACAUAGAAUGAUGAUUCAUCCCAAUGCCUUUUGCUAUCAGUUCGUUAAAUGUUAUGUGAAAAGCAGAACCCAA